ensembl:lncRNA
GGGGAGAAGCUGCUGCCUGCGAGUUUGCUGCAGACAGAGGAGAGCUUAAGUUUGACCAGGGAUCAGCUGUUAGCGCUGCGCCCUGCAGCUGCGCUACCGGCAGACAGACCCUACAUCCCCAGUGAGGGAAGAAACGGGGGUGAUGUCUCCCGAGGACACCUCACACACCAUCUCUCCUUCCUGUAAUCACUUUAAAUGUGAGAUCACUCCCUGAUAUGAUUGAGGAGCUAAUGACGCUAACCCGGUCACAGUGGCAGUAUCCCGGUACUCCCUCUGUGAGUAGGCUGCCCGGCUUCCAGCUGCUGCGGGCAGACAAGACGAGAGACAGCGGUGAGAGGAAAGGAGGGGGGCUGGCAGUGUUUGUUAAAGACGGUUGUGGUAUCUCUGGGCACAUCGCUGUGAAAGAACAACUCUGCAACACAGACAUUGCGCUAUUAGCGGUUAGCAUCCGUGGAGGUAGCCUGUGACUCUCUGUGGUCCGCAGACUGCAAACGCAAUCUCCGAGAGCUCUUCUUCUAAUAUCAGGGGACUUUAAUCAUGUCUCGCUGGACUCCACACUGCCCACCUUCACCCAGUAUGUGACCUGCCCCACCGUAGGCAAUAAAACAUUGUACUUAAUGUAUGCCAAUGAAAAAGUGGCAUACAGUUCAUCACCUCCCCCUGCCCAGGGAAGAUCCGAUCGUAACCGAGUGCGUCUUGUCCCUGUGUGUGCAGCCCUUACUGUGCAGGGAGCCACUAAUCACCCACGCAGUGCAGAGAUGGACCCUGUUUCUGCAAUGCCCUUUGUUUGAACUUCAUCUCCUCUUGCUGCGACCCCACGGGCAACUUCCUUUGGCCUGCUGGUCUGGAAAAUCCAACAGUUCAUCUAUAUGUAAAGAAGGCACUUAAACUGGAACAGGCAUAGCUGCGUUGAUCCUGCUGUGGUAUAGUGGGACAGUGCAUUCCUCGAGUGCACAUCAAGUUUGCAGCCUGCUAAAGAUCACACACCAUUGAUUAUGUGCCUCUAGGUAUAUAUGGUUAAACAUUUCCUAAUGCAAAUAACUACAUGCAGUAUUCUACCAUGUGCAAACUUAUAUCACUAAAGGAUUCUAACUGUCUAGUGUUUAAUGGACCUGUCAAAAGUAUGUUGAGAUUAUAGAAGGCCCCUUUCAGAGCUAGGGGGAACUUCCUUAUAUGGUUGUAACUUGUAACUUGAAACUUGUUGACACACGAACCCUUCUGCCUAUAAAAACCCUGCACAGAAGAAUAAACUUUGAGUUGAUUUUGGGAAAGCAGUCUCUGUAUCAUUUUGUUCUCCCAGGCUACUCCCGGCGCUGUAACUAACCCGCUGAACGGCAUACCUGAGCUUACUUUGAAUAAUUAAUCU